CAAAGGCCUGGUCCUGACUUUACUAUUAGCUCUAACCCAAAUUAUACAUGCAAGUAUCCGCAUCCCGGUGAGAAUGCCCUCAAUCCCCCGUCCGGGGGCGAGGAGCUGGCAUCAGGCACAUGUUUAGCCCAAGACGCCUUGCUUUGCCACACCCUCAAGGGAACCCAGCAGUAAUAAACAUUAAGCCAUAAGUGAAAACUUGACUUAGCUAGGGUUAAGAGGGCCGGUAAAACUCGUGCCAGCCACCGCGGUUAUACGAGAGGCCCUAGUUAAUAGCCACGGCGUAAAGAGUGGUUUAGGAUGCAACAAAAAUAAAGUCAAAGACCUCCCAAGCCGUCACACGCACCCCGGAGGCACGAAGCCCAAACACGAAGGUGGCUUUACUAAAAUUACCUGACGCCACGAAAGCUAAGAAACAAACUGGGAUUAGAUACCCCACUAUGCUUAGCCCUAAACUCAGAUGUUAAAACCACAAAUAACAUCCGCCAGGGUACUACAAGCGCUAGCUUAAAACCCAAAGGACUUGACGGUGUCUCAGAUCCGCCUAGAGGAGCCUGUUCUAGAACCGAUAAUCCCCGUUAAACCUCACCACCCCUUGCUUAUUCCGCCUAUAUACCGCCGUCGCAAGCUUACCCUGUGAAGGAUUCAUAGUAAGCAAAAUGGGUAAAACCCAAAACGUCAGGUCGAGGUGUAGCUUACGAGGUGGGAAGAAAUGGGCUACAUUUUCUACCUCAGAAUAUACGAACAGCACCAUGAAACUAGUGCUUGAAGGUGGAUUUAGCAGUAAAAAAUAAAUAGAGCGUAUUUUUGAAUUAGGCUCUGAGACGCGCACACACCGCCCGUCACUCUCCCCAACACAACAAAAUUAAGUAAAUAACCAACUAUGUCUAAUAACGGGGAGGCAAGUCGUAACAUGGUAAGUGUACCGGAAGGUGCACUUGGAACAU
rnacentral:ncRNA from 1 species